rnacentral:rRNA from 1 species
UACGUAGGGUGCAAGCGUUAAUCGGAAUUACUGGGCGUAAAGCGUGCGCAGGCGGUUAUGUAAGACAGAUGUGAAAUGCCCGGGCUUAACCUGGGAACUGCAUUUGUGACUGCAUGGCUAGAGUUUGGCAGAGGGGGGUAGAAUUCCACGUGUAGCAGUGAAAUGCGUAGAUAUGUGGAGGAACACCGAUGGCGAAGGCAGCCCCCUGGGUCAAGACUGACGCUCAUGCACGAAAGCGUGGGGAGCAAACGGG